UGGACAGGGGGGUUCCUGCCCACCCGGCAGGGCCUGUCCGACAAAGGCCGCGCGUGAGCGUGGCCAGUGGUUGUCGCUCGGGGGUGAUCGCCG
rnacentral:sRNA from 22 species